AUAUGUCUACAUAUGUGAUCUACACUUACUUGUUGUUACUUGAUAUUUAUUAAGGUAGAAAAUCGCUUUGGUUUUUUCCAAGUGGUUUUGUAAAUUUUUGUGUGUAAUGGAACGCAUAUAUGUCAUGGCGUCCGGCCGGUACCCUUUAAAAGUUGUUGAUUGUGUUGUGUGGUGCGUUCUCCUGUUUUUCCGUAUAUUUGUGGCUUUUCCGACAACGUUUGCUUUCCAAAGGACACCGAAAUCUCCGCUUUAAUUUUACACCUGUGCGCACUACUUUGGACUCCGAGUUUUCUUUACGAUUUGGAUUUGACGAUAUGGGAUCUCCGUUCAGAUGUUGUGUUCGUUAUUGCACUACAACUCGCAGUAAGUUUUAAAUAUACUAUUUUAAUGUGGACUUUCCCAUUAUAAGUAUAUACAGUACAGUAUUAUAGGAGAUACCGUAGAACAAUAAUAAUAUGUCUUCAUUUACAGGUGAUGAUUGCAAUGUUAUUUUGCAUUCAUUUCCCAACCCCGAUAAGGAAGAGGACAGAUUUAGAUCUUGGGUCUACUCAAUUGGGGGAGAUAUUCUGGUUUUGGAUAACCAAUUUGUAUUCAAAAACAGAAAAAUAUGCCACAAGCACUUCGAAAGUAAAUACCAUACAAGAAGUUCAAGAUUAAGUGCUAAUGCAGUUCCUACUUUGCAUUUAAAAGGCAUACCUUGUAAAAGACCAUUAUCAGAUGUUACCAAUGUGACCAGUUACAAUCCAAUAUUUGCUCAACCUUCAACAUCCACAGCAGGUCCACUUCAUUCUGGUGAACCAAUAUCUAUCAAGACCAGUGAACUUGAGAAGCUAGCAGAAGCAGGUAAAUUUCUUAAAACACUUAUAGUUUUAACUAGCUUCCGACCGCGGCUUCGCCCGCGUCCAGUUCGGUUAUAUCGCGUUUCCAAGAGAACUCUCCAAAAGUCCGGGAUAAAAACUAUCCUACGUUCUUUCUCAAUGUCAACUCUAUCUCUGUACCAAAUUUUAUUUAAUUCCGUUCAGUGGUUUAGACGUGAAAGCGUAACAGACAGACAGACAGACAGAGUUACUUUCGCAUUUAUAAUAUUAGUAGGGAAGUAGGGAUUUAACCCCUAUUUCACCCCCACACUGGUAAAAAAAAUAACUUUCAAAAUGAACAAACGAUUUUUUGUUUCUUAUGACGUGAUAUUUGAUGAACUUGUGUACUAACUUUCAACCCUUAUUUCACCCCCCAGCUGGUCGAAAUUUCAAAAAUGCUAGAAAAAAUGUUUAAUGAUUUCUUAUCAAGUGCUUAAAUAUAAAGUUUCAUGGUUUUAUCUUUUAAAAUUAAGAAAUCCCAUACAAACUUUCAACCUCUAUUUCAACCCCUUCAUCCCUUUUUUUCGAAAUAAAAAGUAGCCUAUGUUCUGUCUCGGGGUCUAAAGAUUGUCUGUACCAAAUUUCAUCAAAAUCGGUUGCGAGGAUUAAGCGGGAAAGCGUAACAGACAGACAGAGUUACUUUCGCAUUUAUUAUAUUAGUUUGGAUUAAAAUCAGUUGAUAGGUAUGGUAGAUAUAUUUAUUUUCUACCAUCAAUGUGUAUUAUUCAAGUAUUCUAUACAAUACCUAGGCAAUUUAUAGAAUACUUGGGGUGUUUAGGGUUAAACAAUGUAUGAAAAAUUGCAAAUUUGAUUGUCCAUUAAAUACUUUGCCUAGGUAAUGUAUACCAUACCUGCUGGUUCUUCAGCAGUGUAUAUAUAUAUAUUUUAUUAUGUUUAUACAUAAAUGCAUUAAUUUAAUUUUUCAGAUUUAGGCAAACCUGUAAAGACUUCAGGAGUAAAACAUAUUUCCCUAAAACAAGCAGCUGCAAUGACAAAAAAUGUACCAAACUUAGCGAAUCUGCAAAAAACAAUCAAGAAGUUACAACAAAAGAAAGAAAGUUACGCCACACGACUGAAAAGAGCCUUAAGACUUUCUGAAAAUACCACUUUUCAGAAGUGCUUACAAAAAUUUUCGACUUUGGCAGCCUUGUUUACAGUCAUGCAAUUUCGCGAAAUUUCAAAAGGAAAAUGGGAAGAAGGUUCACAAAGGACGAAAAAAUCAUGGCUCUCAGUUUGUACAAACAGGGCCCAAAAGCAUAUAGAUGGCUCAGUAAAAUAUUUAUUUUACCAUCUCCUAUCACUCUGAGUCGUCUGAUUUCCUGUGCUGGUCUAAGACCAGGAAUCAACAAAAGGAUAUUUAACCAGUUGAAGAAAAGAGCCCAAAAAAUGACAGAAAAUGAAAAGUUAUGCAUUCUUCUGUUCGAUGAAAUAUCUAUUACACCCCAUUAUGACUAUAAUAGAAAACGAGAUGCCAUUACGGGAUUUAUUAAUAAUGGAAAACAAACAAACAGGAACAUAGCGGAUCAUGCACUUGUUUUAUGUUAAGAGGGUUUGUAAAUAAUUACAAACAACCAUUGGCUUACACAUUUUGCAAAGGAACAACUUCCAAAGGAGAUUUGAAACUUUUAAUAAAAAUAUUAUUUCCGAAUUGCAACAGUGUGGGUUUUAUGUGCUUGCAACGGUCUGUGACCAAGGGACUACAAAUGUUAGCGCUAUAAACGAAUUGAUAGAAGAAAGAAGAGUUGAUUAUAUAAGAAAAAAUCUAAAUUUUAAGCAUCAAAUAUUUGAAGUCAAUGGCAAGGAAAUAAUACCUAUUUUUGACACCCCCCACUUAAUAAAAGGGAUUAGGAAUAAUUUAAUUACCAAGAAUUUGAAGUGCAUUAUAGAAGAUGAAGUUAAAAUUGCGAAGUGGGACCACCUAAUUAAACUUCAUGAGGAAAAUCCUUCUUAUAAAGGUAUACGAUUAAUUAAAAAUCUUACAGAAGCCCACAUUGAUCCAAAGAAAAUCCCCAAGAUGAAGGUUAAGAUGGCAACUCAAAUAUUUAGUCAAACAGUCGCUACCAGUAUGGGAUACCUAGCAGAUAAAAGAAUACUUCCUUCGGAGUGCAAAGAUACCGCAGACGUAUUGAUGUUUUUCGAUCAACUUUUCGACUCUAUGAAUGGCAGUUUUGAAAAUUCAAAAAAAAGAAGCGGUAAAGUGCUGUUAAAAUCAGUCACCCCAAAAUCUGAUCACAGUAAGGUAUGGGCGAGGGCAAAAAAAGUUUUAAAAUCUAUGAAGUUUAUUGGUAGAGGAGGAAGGGAAGGUAGUGUGCCAUCAAUUACAAACUGGUUACGUACGCUGGAAAAUAUUGAAGUUUUAAAAAAUAAGGCAUUCAAUGAAUAUAAUAUAAAAUCAUUCUGGAUGAGACACUUAAAUCAAGAUCCAUUAGAGAAUUUUUUUGGCUGUAUACGGUCUCAUGGAUACAGAAAUAUAUCACCAACCCCAUCUGGCUUUGAGUCAGCUUUUGCAAGCUUAUUAAUAAAUAAUUUAUCAAGUAGUCAUUCUGUAGGGUCAAAUUGUGAAGAAGAUGACUGUAAAAUUUUUCAAUCAAUGGACUACUUAUUAAAAAAGGAGGAUAUUAAUGAACUCACAGAAAUAAAUGAAAUAGAUAUCGAUGAUAUUAAUUGCGAAAUUAUAGAUUUUAAUGAAAAAAAAAGUAAUCCAAAAAUUAUAAGCCAACUCAGCUACGUAACCGGCUAUGUAAUAAAACAGGCAAAAAAAAAUGUAUUUAAAAAUUGCAAAAAUUGUAAAGCAAUUUUAUAUUGUAAUGAAGAAGAAGAACAAGAAAUAAAUGAAUAUAUAAAAAUAAGAGAGUACUCUUCGUUUAAAUCACUCGCCUACCCUUCCGAAAACACAACAAAACUAUUCUCUGCAAUCCAAGACGUAGUCACUUAUAUUUUAAAAAGAAAAAGUGAUAUGCCUCGCAUAAAAAAUUAUAUAAAGACAAUUUUGUACACAGUCAUAGAUUUUAGUUUUUUGACUUGCCCAGACCACAAAAGCGAGUUGACAGAUUUUUUAUUUGACUUUUCUUCAAGAUUUUUUAUAAAUAACUGGUGCCGGGAUGUAAAUUUGUUAUUAAAUGGCACCAGGACAGAAAAAGAUGAAGAUGAUAGCAUUAAAGAACGGGCUAUUACUUAUUAUAAUAAAAGACACAUUAUCAAAUCAUAAUAAUGAUUGUUUUAUUUUUUAUUCCCUUAGAACUUUUAUACUGUGUUCAUCUACCGUUUCUCUGUACUGAUAAUUAAUAUUUUUCUGUACUAUCAUAAACAUCAGUUCAGACGAAACGGUAGAUGAAUUCAGAUUUAGGUAAGAUUUUUGUGCAACAGAGCUAUAUAAUGGUUUUGCUAGCUAUAGGUAUAUACAUAGCAAGUUGUAGUUCCUAAAAUAAACAAAGGAUGGCGCUGUACUGCAUUGGCCACUGAUAACUCUAUUCUUGUAAUGUACUCUGUGGUUACGAAUCCCGCUAGUGUUUACCUCGAAUUAAUUUGAAAAUUUGGUGAUAAUUUACAAGUGUAAUAUACGCAGUGGCCCUGGAAGGACACUAGGUCGAAGCACACAGAAAUGUUUAUAGACGAGAAUGAGACGU